UACGUAGGGAGCGAGCGUUGUCCGGAUUUAUUGGGUUUAAAGGGUGCGUAGGCGGUCUUAUAAGUCAGUGGUGAAAUACGGCAGCUCAACUGUCGAGGUGCCAUUGAUACUGUAGGACUUGAGUACAGACGAGGUAGGCGGAAUUGACGGUGUAGCGGUGAAAUGCUUAGAUAUCGUCAAGAACACCGAUAGCGAAGGCAGCUUACUAGGCUGUAACUGACGCUGAGGCACGAAAGUGUGGGGAUCAAACAGG
rnacentral:rRNA from 1 species